UUGAGGACACAUUCCCAUUCCGCACCUCAACCACCUCAUCUCCACCUCCUACCCAAGAACCACCACCAUCGAGCUCUACAAACACUUUCCCUGUCCUCACCAUCAACCGUCGAUCACUCAGACAAACUCGCUCCACCGCGCCUCCGAGCUCAGAUCAUCACCAGAACGUGUCACCGGCUCCGACAUCAGCAGAUUCUUCUGCCUCGAUGGAGGACGCAAACUUGUCUAUCCCAAGCUCUCACUCGACUCGUGGAGAUCAGACUAGUUGCGAAGGAACUUCCUCAGGUAUGAUUACACAUUCUCUUACAGGUACAGAGACUCACCCUUCCUCGCCAUUACCAACAUCAGAAACACCCCUACCCAAUCCUCCACCAGAAACAACCCAAACAGAAACCAGUGAACCACAAAUUCCUCCCCCAUCACAACCUGAGCUUCCAGCUAAUCGUCACUCCAUGACAACCCGUUCC
rnacentral:lncRNA from 1 species